UACGUAGGGUGCAAGCGUUAAUCGGAAUUACUGGGCGUAAAGCGUGCGCAGGCGGUUGUGCAAGACAGAUGUGAAAUCCCCGGGCUCAACCUGGGAACUGCAUUUGUGACUGCAUGGCUAGAGUACGGUAGAGGGGGAUGGAAUUCCGCGUGUAGCAGUGAAAUGCGUAGAUAUGCGGAGGAACACCGAUGGCGAAGGCAAUCCUCUGGACCUGUACUGACGCUCAUGCACGAAAGCGUGGGGAGCAAACAGG
rnacentral:rRNA from 1 species